rnacentral:rRNA from 1 species
UCCGGAUUUAUUGGGCGUAAAGGGCUCGUAGGUGGUUGAUCGCGUCGGAAGUGUAAUCUUGGGGCUUAACCCUGAGCGUGCUUUCGAUACGGGUUGACUUGAGGAAGGUAGGGGAGAAUGGAAUUCCUGGUGGAGCGGUGGAAUGCGCAGAUAUCAGGAGGAACACCAGUGGCGAAGGCGGUUCUCUGGGCCUUUCCUGACGCUGAGGAGCGAAAGCGUGGGGAGCGAACAGGCUAGAUACCCUGGUAGUCCACGCUGUAAACGGUGGGUACUAGGUGUGGGGUCCAUUCCACGGGUUCCGCGCCGUAGCUAACGCUUUAAGUACCCCGCCUGGGGAGUACGGCCGCAAGGCUAAAACUCAAAGGAAUUGACGGGGCCCCGCACAAGCGGCGGAGCAUGCGGAUUAAUUCGAUGCAACGCGUAGAACCUUACCUGGGUUUGACAUGGAUCGGGAGUGCUCAGAGAUGGGUGUGCCUCUUUUGGGGUCGGUUCACAGGUGGUGCAUGGCUGUCGUCAGCUCGUGUCGUGAGAUGUUGGGUUAAGUCCCGCAACGAGCGCAACCCUUGUCCACUGUUGCCAGCACGUUAUGGUGGGGACUCAGUGGAGACCGCCGGGGUCAACUCGGAGGAAGGUGGGGAUGACGUCAAGUCAUCAUGCCCCUUAUGUCCAGGGCUUCACGCAUGCUACAAUGGCUGGUACAGAGAGUGGCGAGCCUGUGAGGGUGAGCGAAUCUCGGAAAGCCGGUCUCAGUUCGGAUUGGGGUCUGCAACUCGACCUCAUGAAGUCGGAGUCGCUAGUAA